AGUCAAUAGAUACCCGGGUAGUCCACGCUCGUAAACGAUGAGGACUAGGUGUCGGGGGUAUCGACCCCGUCGGUGGCGCAGCUAAACGCGAUAAGUCCUCCGCCUGGGGACUACGGCCGCAAGGCUAAAACUACAAAGGAAUUGACGGGGGCCCGGCACAAGCAGCGGAGCGUGUGGUUUAAUUCGACGCAACGCGAAGAACCUUACCUGGGCUUGACAUGCACGUGGUACGACUCGAAAAACGGGGAGGACCCGCAAGGGAGCGUGCACAGAUGCUGCAUGGCUGUCGUCAGCUCGUGCCGUGAGGUGUUGGGUUAAGUCCCCGCAACGAGCGCAACCCUCGCUGCCAGUUACGAUGUCUGGCGGGACCGCCGGGUCCAACCCGGAGGAAGGUGGGGAUGACGUCAAGUCAGCACGGCUCUUACGUCCAGGGCUACACACACGCUACAAUGGCCGGUACAACGCGCGGCGAUGGGGCGACCCGGAGCGAAUCGCAGCAAAGCCGGUCUCAGUUGGGAUUGCAGGCUGCAACUCGCCUGCAU
rnacentral:rRNA from 1 species